UACGAAGGGGGCUAGCGUUGCUCGGAAUCACUGGGCGUAAAGCGCACGUAGGCGGAUUGUUAAGUCAGGGGUGAAAUCCUGGAGCUCAACUCCAGAACUGCCUUUGAUACUGGCGAUCUUGAGUCCGGGAGAGGUGAGUGGAAUUCCUGGUGUAGCGGUGAAAUGCGCAGAUAUCAGGAGGAACACCGAUGGCGAAGGCAGCUCGCUGGGACGGUACUGACGCUGAGGCGCGAAAGCGUGGGGAGCAAACAGG
rnacentral:rRNA from 1 species